rnacentral:rRNA from 1 species
AUUGAACGCUGGCGGCAGGCCUAACACAUGCAAGUCGAGCGGAUGCAGGGAGCUUGCUUCUGGAUUCAGCGGCGGACGGGCGAGUAAUGCCUAGGAAUCUGCCUGGUAGUGGGGGAUAACGUCCGGAAACGGGCGCUAAUACCGCAUUCGUGCUGAGGGAGAACGUGGGGGAUCUUCGGACCUCACGCCAUCAGAUGAGUCUAGGUCGGAUUAGCUAGUUGGUGGGGUAAAGGCCUACCAAGGCGACGAUCCGUAACUGGUCUGAGAGGAUGAUCAGUCACACUGGAACUGAGACACGGUCCAGACUCCUACGGGAGGCAGCAGUGGGGAAUAUUGGACAAUGGGCGAAAGCCUGAUCCAGCCAUGCCGCGUGUGUGAAGAAGGUCUUCGGAUUGUAAAGCACUUUAAGUUGGGAGGAAGAGCAGUAAGUUAAUACCUUGCUGUUUUGACGUUACCAACAGAAUAAGCACCGGCUAACUUCGUG